rnacentral:rRNA from 1 species
UACGUAGGGGGCAAGCGUUGUCCGGAUUUACGGGGCGUAAAGAGCGUGUGGGCGGCCACGCAGGUCCGUUGUGAAAACUGGAGGCUCAACCUCCAGACGUCGACGGAAACCGUAUGGCUAGAGUCCGGAAGAGGAGAGUGGAAUUCCUGGUGUAGCGGUGAAAUGCGCAGAUAUCAGGAAGAACACCAAUGGCGAAGGCAGCUCUCUGGGACGGUACUGACGCUGAGACGCGAAAGCGUGGGGAGCGAACAGG